rnacentral:rRNA from 16 species
AUUCCCCUAGUAACGGCGAGUGAACCGGGAAGAGCUCAAGCUGAAAAUCUUCGGAAUUGUGGUCUAUAGGUGCGGACUCGCGCAGCCCCAGGUAUAAAUCCGUUCUUGGAAUUGGGUGCCAGAGAGGGUUAGAGCCCCGUCUUUGACUUGGGUAGCUGUGCGUGGCGAGUCUUUACCGGAGAGUCGGCUUGCUUGGGAAUGCAGGCCAAAAUGGGUGGUAAACUUCAUCUAAAGCUAAAUAUUGGCGAGAGACCGAUAGCGAACAAGUACUGUGAAGGAAAGAUGGAAAGAACUUUGAAAAGAGAGUGAAAAAGGGCUUGAAAUUGUUAAGAGGAGAAGUGAUUGGAGCAUAUCAUACGGCGUGGG